GUAGGUGAACCUGCGGAAGGAUCAUUACCGAGUUCAUGCCCUCACGGGUAGAUCUCCCACCCUUUGUAUACCAUACCUUUGUUGCUUUGGCGGGCCGCCUAGCUACUGGCUUCGGCUGGUAAGUGCCCGCCAGAGGACCCAAAACCCUGAUUAUUAGUGUCGUCUGAGUAAAAUUUUAAUAUUUAAAACUUUCAACAACGGAUCUCUUGGUUCUG
rnacentral:misc_RNA from 1 species